GAUGAACGCUAGCUACAGGCUUAACACAUGCAAGUCGAGGGACGGGCGCACGGGAGCGUAACACGUAUCCAACCUGCCCUUUACUCGGGGACAGCCUUUCGAAAGAAAGAUUAAUACCCGAUCCAAAGGAUGGGGAUGCUUUCCAUUAGGGUGUUGGUGAGGUAACGGCUCACCAAGCAUUCGAUGGAUAGGGGUUCUGAGAGGAAGGUCCCCCACAUUGGAACUGGGACACGGUCCAAACUCCUACGGGAGGCAGCGUUAAGGAAUAUUGGUCAAUGAGCGCUAGCCGGAACCAGCCAAGUAGGUCGAAGAAUGAAUGCUUAUGGGUCGUAAACUUCUUUUAUAGAAGAAUAUGUAUUAUAUGAAUAAGGAUCGGCUAACUCCGUGCCAGCAGCCGCGGUAGUUC
rnacentral:rRNA from 1 species